rnacentral:rRNA from 1 species
AACGCGAAGAACCUUACCUGGGUUUGACAUGCAGUUGACCGAUCCAGAAAUGGAUCUUUCUCGCAAGAGACAAUUGCACAGGUGCUGCAUGGCUGUCGUCAGCUCGUGCCGUGAGGUGUUGGGUUAAGUCCCGCAACGAGCGCAACCCUUGUCGUUAGUUGCCAGCACGUAAUGGUGGGCACUCUAGCGAGACUGCCCGGGUUAACCGGGAGGAAGGUGAGGAUGACGUCAAGUCCGCAUGGCCUUUAUAUCCAGGGCUACACACGUGCUACAAUGGCCGGUACAGAGGGGAGCAAAACCGUGAGGUAGAGCAAAUCGUUAAAACCGGCCCCAGUUCGGAUUGUAGUCUGCAACUCGACUACAUGAAGAUGGAAUUGCUAGUAAUGGCGGGUCAGCAACACCGCCGUGAAUACGUUCCCGGGCCUUGUACACACCGGAGUGC